UGGAGGUGGGGGGGCAGGUGGGGCUAAGCCCGACGGGGAUCUGAAUAAAGAGAAGAUGGCGGUCAGUCUACCUAAUGAAACCUCUCUCUCUCAAGGCAGCCCUAACUUCCUCAUCGCCAACUGCAGAGCCCUGGCUUUAGCUUUCAGUAUCGCCUGCUGCUCUGAAGCACUUAGUGCUUCACCAUCCCAGCCCCACCUUUACAGCUCUCUCUUCUCUAGCCGCCAUACACCAAUACUUGAUUCUCCUCCUGCUUCUUAUCUCCUCCUUCUCUGAAUGCCCUUGGCUCUUUUUCCUUCUUCUCACCCCCUAAGUUCUUUCUUGAACCCAUUAAAAAUGGUCAUUAUAAAAAGCCCCAAUAUUAUACAAAAUACUUUCACCCCUAUCAUUUUCUUCAUAAUUCUCUUCUUGAUUCCCACAGCUACGAAUACCACCCGAUGCCGGUAAUUCCCAAGUGUGUAUCCCCACCCCUGACUUCCCCCCAUCUCCCAGUCUGUACUGCCAACCGCCUAUUGGACCUCUCCUCCUGAAUGUUCUUUAAACUCAGUAUGUCUAAAAUGGUACUUCUUUCAACCCAGUCUUCCAAGCCCACAGUAUCUUCUUGCAAUGGUAUCAUCCCAGGCACUCAGGCGGCUGCACGACUCCAUGAAUUGGCAAGGACCAGUGAUGUCGGAAGAAGAGAAGUGAUAGAUGUUAGAAUCAUGUCGAUACAUGCUUCAGAAAUGGUUCAAAUAAGUGUUUGCACAGGACCAGACUUGGUAGGUCAUUAAUUCUUGGAAUGAAUAGCAAAUCCAAUAAUCCGAAGGUGGGAGCAGUUUGAGCAAACAUGAUCCUAAGCCCUCUGGGCCUGUCCUGAGUUCUACGGUAACUGAAUUAGGUUUGGAGUCUCCCCGGGGCCUCAUUAUUCGCCCUGUGACUGAGGAUAUUGGAGACUUACAGAAAGGUAGAGGCUGGCCUUCAGGAGUACAAUAGAUAGUUGAUAGUUCUCAUUCCUCUCAUUCCUUCUCUAACUCAUCAAAUUAAGGGCUUCUUAUGGUGAGGCACUGCCAGAUGCCAUGUGGGCUAUAAUGAUGUAAAUGCUUACAAAAUAGUGGUUAUUUUGCUAAGAGAAUCUAUAUGUUGACUGAACUGUUUCCCUAAGGAAAUCACUCCAAUUUCAAUCAAAAUAAAACCUAGAAUUAGGCAAGGAUAAGCCAUACUUGUUGAAUUUCCCCAAAUCUUAGCUAAGACAAAGACUUUCUCCAUGUUUUGGGGGACACAGAUAAUAAACUCAGAAAGUACUUGGGAUCCAGAUGAUUUGGCUUAUCACACUUAAUUUGAUUAUCUUCAGCUUGCACCUCCCCUUUGCUUCAGCUCUCCCUCCACAAUCCAGACUCCUCCUCUGUCCCCUACCAGAAAGGGAUACUCUAAUAGACACAAAGAUACCUCCAAGAACCGCACCCCCCCCAAGGAAGACCAAAAAGAACCCCCUUCCCCAGCCGUGGCAGAUAUUAGCAGAGCUAAUGCAUCAUCCAGUUUGUCUUUCCUUCCAAGCUUACAGGAGGAUCACACCUCCUUUCCCCUAGACUGUUAGGCAAGUCCAUGUAACUAGUUCUAAGCAAUUGGUUGUGAGCAGAAAUGGUGUGCCCUGUUGCUUCCGAGGUGAAGCAUCAUCAGGUGGUUUGAAGUCUUCUAGAUUGCUCUUCUCUUGCCAUGGAAAACAUGGAAAUAUAUUAAGACAGUUACACCCAACACAGAAGUAGCCUGGAGCGCUGAGCCACCACAUGGAAACCCAUGGUGAAUGUUGCAUGAGCAAGGAAUAAAAUUACAUUCUGAUAAGCCAUGGAGAUUUUUGGUGGUGUUUAUUUAUUGCAGCAUAAAUGAGAUUAUUUUGACUGGGUAGCAGCCAUCCCCCAGGCUAGCUCUUUUCAUUUUGGUUAAUUGUCUGAGGACCUCACGGCUUCCUGAGAAUUCACACUAAGGAUGGCUUCUCUCUUCAGCUUUAUCUCCAGAUCCAUGUGCUGUGUCCCUGGGAGGGUGGAGGUAUGACAGCUUAUCUCUAUAUUCUCCCAAACCCCAGCAUUCGUACAUAAGCCAUGACUGUCCUUACCAGCCCUACCUCAUUCCUUAACUUUAAGUACUUUCCUACUUUGUUUUUGUGUUCACAGUCAUAGUGACAAUAUUAAGUGGAUAGGUUUAAAUUUGUUCUGUAACUUGAAACCCAUGCUCGAGGGGCGCCUGGGUGGCUCAGUCGGUUAAGUGUCCGACUUCGGCUCAGGUCAUGAUCACGAUCGCACAGCUCGUGAGUUCGAGUACGCUGGGCUCUGUGCUGACAGCUCAGAAUCUGGAGCCUGUUUCAGAUUCUGUGUCUCCGUCUCUCUCUGCCCCUCCUCCGCUCGCACUCUGUCUCUCUCUCUCACAAAAUACAAGUAAACAUUUAAAAACUAAAACCAUCCUCGCUUGCACUCUAGUGACAAGGAAUGUUGCUUCAAGUUACUUAACGCUUGGAGUUCAGCCACCAGUUGCUUCAAACUUUAAGUAGCUGCAAGUUAUAAAAACCGUUUGCUCAAGUACAAAGUCAGCACCCAGACAAAACCAUCUUCAGAGAUGAAACCAACCAACCAAAGACAAAAGGAUACGGCCUAAAAUCAAAAAGUGCUGGAGCACAUGCUUAUGCUGACUUCUAAGGAAUUCAGUGAUUUAUCGGAUGAAUCUUCACUCAUCCAAGGGCAUCGGAAUCCAGAGGCAACCUGACGGAAGGGCCAGGUGGGCAAGAAAGAGCACUGGUUAGGAGUCAGGAGUACAUUGGAGACCCUGUAUUGCAUCUAGCCACGCACAACCUUGGGUCCGUCGGAAGGAUUUGCAAGGGGACCCCGAGGAAGCUGCCUCUUGAAUUCAGAGACCCAGAUGAUGACUGGAGCGGUCCACUGCAGCUCCCUGACCAUCAGCCUUCCUCUGCCACGCUCACUGCUGUCUGUCCGCGGCCUGCCUCCAGCCUGGCAGCACAGCCGUGAGCUUUCCGAUGGUACAACGAAGCAUUGAUACGGUUUUCCGGACGAUCGGGAAAGGGUAAGUUAUUGUAUUGCCCCCAAACCCAGUGAGCCACACGACCACCUGUGAAGCCUCAUGCAGAUUAUUGGAGACCACGUCAAGGCUCUUGAGUUUCAGUCUUCUGUGGAGGGGCCUGGAAAUCUGCAUUUUAAAUAAAUGCUCUCAAAGAAGCUGAUGAUUGAGACUGGGAAACAAGGACUUAAGACCUUUAACAUUUCUAGAGAAAUUUGUGGACAAAUCAAAUACUCGAAGUUACAUCCCCGAGGGAUUUUAAUGUGUCUAUUAGUUCUACCACCUUUUUUUCUACAACCUAAGUAAGGUAACUUUGAGAGGUGCGUAGAACACAGUGAUUUUUUUUUUUAACUGAAAUAAGAGAAAUGAAACAGAUUAGAUUUAAAAAGAGGUUAAACUGGGGCACCUGGGUGGCUCAGUCGGUUAAGUGUCCGACUUCAGCUCAGGCCAUGAUCUCACGGUUCGUGAGUUCAAGCCCUGUGUCGAGCUCUGUGCUGACAGCUCAGAGCCUGGACCCUACUUUGGAUUCUGUGUCUCCCUCUCUCUCUGCCCCUCCCCCCGCUUGCACGCUCUCUCUCUCUCUCUCUCAAAAAUAAUAAAUAAAUAAAUAAAUAAAUAGGGGCGCCUGGGUGGCUCAGUCGGUUGAGCGUCCGACUUCAGCUCAGGUCACGAUCUCGCGGUCCGUGAGUUCGAGCCCCGCGUCAGGCUCUGGGCUGAUGGCUCAGAGCCUGGAGCCUGCUUCUGAUUCUGUGUCUCCCUCUCUCUCUGCCCCUCCCCUGUUCAUGCUCUGUCUCUCUCUGUCUCAAAAAUAAAUAAACUUAAAAUAAAUAAAUAAAUACAAAUAAGUUAAACUAAAGCUGCCUUAUGACCUCAUACAUCAGAUUUCACUGGAGCAAUUUCUACUUUCUUAUAUUCAUCCCUCUCUGUCUCCCUUGCCCCCUUUCUCUUUCUAUUUUCCCCCAUAAGUGGAUUUGGGGUCAUCUCAAAUGAGACUUUUAUUAAACUUACCCUGUAACAAGUAUUUUAAGAGGAUAUGAGUGGAGUCUUUACCCAAUAUUUAUUUAUAAGGGUCAGCUGCCCUGACCCUUAUAUUCGUGUGUGUGUAUGUGUGUGUUGGGGUGAGGGGAACAGACAGUUAACAAAUGCCCGUAAAAAUAAACAAGAAAACAUCCAGGUAGACUUAGUGUUGAGACGAAAGUGGAGAAGGUGCUGUGAUGGAGAGUGCCAGGCUUCCCUCGAUCAGGUCAGAGAAGCUCUUGAGGAGGUAGCAUCUGAGUGGAGCCCCAAAUGACGUAGGGGACCAACUGUGUGACCUCGAGGGAGGGUGUUCAAGACAGACGGAAGCUACUGCAAGGACCCUAAGGCAGGACCAUGUUAGGGAUGUGGGAGGAACAGAAAGAACAUCUGUGAGUCUGCAUCUAAAGACCUUUUUUGUUCACUGUGCAAAAUUUUUUAUUAGAAACCCAAUGUACCUGGAACACUGUAGGGGGGGCUACCUUACUGUCCCCUCCCGUGACCUGUGGAUUGUUGAGUUUGUCCUUGCGAGUGACAUGGUGAGCUCUUCCUCUUCCAUCUAUACGUUCCCCUGACAGGUUCUUCUUCGUGACAUCUCCUAAAGGCCACUCCAUUAUCUUCUCUCCAUCCUUUCCCCUUGUUGCAAUGGUACCAAAACCGGUACCACUGAAUAGCAUGCCACCUCCUCCAGGAAGCCUUUCUCAAUCCUUCUAGGGAGAAUGAGCCAGAACCAAGGGUCUUUAGCUUCAUGCUCCCACAGCCCUUUCUUGCAUUUCUCCAGCAGCUCCUGCUUCGUCCUGCCCUGGGUUGUAUGCCAUCCCUUAUUUACACAUCUCUCAUCCCAGUACAUGAAGAAGCCUCAAGAAUGAGGUCUAGGCUUUAUUCAGCUGAGCCCUGCCCCCACUGGGUUGGUGGGCAUCUGCGCGUGAGAGGGCUCGCUGUUGGUGGAGCCCCUCAUUCCAUUAACCCAGGGGCGUGGAGCACCUGAGCUUUGCUCUACCUGUGCUAGAUUCUUGGGGGGACGAGAAGGAUAAGGCCCAGCCCUUGCUUUUCAGAAGCUUAGAAAUCUAUAUUGGUGGGGGAGGGGCAGGCAAGACUGGCACCCUGGAAGUACCAUCAGGGGCAGUGGUCUCCAAACUGGGGGGGAGCACACACCCCAGGAGCACUUGACGAGCACUAGGAUGCAGGAAGUAAGCAUAAGCAGCUCUAGUUUGUUGUACUGCUUACUAUCGAUUUAGAAAUAAAUGAAAAAUUUAGAAAUAAACAUUGUUUUACUGAUUUUCGCUAUCUGGCUUGCCCUUGACACCUCUCCAGGCCCCUUGUCAGACAGCCACAGUCACAUGACCCCCCCAGGGAGAGGUUGCAGAGGUUGCCUGGGCCUCAGUGCCCUCACUUGUCCUUGCUAGUGACGACUCACCUCACACUCCAGUUUAGGUGUUACAGGAUGUCAUCAACAUGGCUACUUCUAUAAAGACAAGACCUUGAGGGGCACCUGGGUGGCUCAGUCGGUUGUGUGUCUGACUUUGGCUCAGGUCAUGAUCUUGCAGUUUGUGAGUUCGAGCCCGGUGUCAGGCUCUGUGCUGGCAGCUCAGGGCCUGGAGCCUGUUUGGAUUCUGUGUCUCCCUCUCUCUCUGCCCCUCCCUGCUCGCGCUUGU